GACGAACCGUGCGAACGUUGUUCGGAAUCACUGGGCUUAAAGGGCGCGUAGGCGGGUGACCAAGUCCGGGGUGAAAUCCUCCAGCUUAACUGGAGAAGUGCCUCGGAUACUGGUUGUCUUGAGGAGGGUAGGGGCAUCUGGAACUAGCGGUGGAGCGGUGAAAUGCGUUGAUAUCGCUAGGAACUCCGGUGGCGAAGGCGAGGUGCUGGACCCUUUCUGACGCUGAGGAGCGAAAGCAUGGGGAGCGAACAGG
rnacentral:rRNA from 1 species